UACGAAGGGGGCUAGCGUUGCUCGGAAUCACUGGGCGUAAAGGGUGCGUAGGCGGGUCUUUAAGUCAGGGGUGAAAUCCUGGAGCUCAACUCCAGAACUGCCUUUGAUACUGAAGAUCUUGAGUUCGGGAGAGGUGAGUGGAACUGCGAGUGUAGAGGUGAAAUUCGUAGAUAUUCGCAAGAACACCAGUGGCGAAGGCGACUCACUGGACAUGUAUUGACGCUGAGGUGCGAAAGCGUGGGGAGCAAACAGG
rnacentral:rRNA from 1 species